UGGAUGGGGGUAAAAGCUCGUCUGCCAGAGGUUUAACCAAAACUCUAACUUAAAAACUUGAUUUUUUAAAUUGUCAUUUUUGAAAUUUGUCUGAUUAACUUCGGAUGAAACAAAUAUUCAAAACUUUCAACAACGGAUCUCUUGGUUCUCGCAUCGAUGAAGAACGCAGCGAAUUGCGAUAAGUAUUGUGAAUUGCAGAAUUUCGUGAAUCAUCGAAUCUUUGAACGCACAUUGCACCCUGUGGUAUUCCACAGGGUAUGCCUGUUUGAGCGUCAUUUCUCUCUCAAAACGCAAGUUUUGGUGUUGAGUGAUACUCGGGUUAAAUGGCUUGAGUUUGCUUGAAAAGUAUUGGCAAGGGAAGUGAGACUUCACUACAGCUGUUUAUUCAAUGUAUUAGGUUUAUCCAACCUCGUUGAUUGACAGGUGGAAUGAGAUUUUGCUAAUAGGCCCGGCCUUNCAACAAACAAACCAAAGUUGACCUCNANC
rnacentral:rRNA from 1 species